rnacentral:rRNA from 1 species
UACGUAGGGGGCAAGCGUUAUCCGGAUUCAUUGGGCGUAAAGCGCGCGUAGGCGGCCUAUUUGGUCGGGAGUUAAAACCGGGGGCUCAACCCCCGUCCGCUUCCGAUACCGGUAGGCUUGAGUCUGGUAGGGGAAGGUGGAAUUCCCAGUGUAGCGGUGGAAUGCGCAGAUAUUGGGAAGAACACCGGUGGCGAAGGCGACCUUCUGGGCCAUGACUGACGCUGAGGCGCGAAAGCUAGGGGAGCAAACA